UGGGCGUAAGCGCGCGCAGGCGGUUUCUUAAGUCUGAUGUGAAAGCCCACGGCUCUACCGUGGAGGGUCAUUGGAAACUGGGGAACUUGAGUGCCUAAGAGAAAAGCGGAAUUCCACGUGUAGCGGUGAAAUGCGUAGAGAUGUGGAGGAACACCAGUGGCGAAGGCGGCUUUUUGGUCUGUAACUGACGCUGAGGCGCGAAAGCGUGGGGAGCAAACAGGAUUAGAUACCCUGGUAGUCCACGCCGUAAACGAUGAGUGCUAAGUGUUAGAGGGUUUCCGCCCUUUAGUGCUGCAGCUAACGCAUUAAGCACUCCGCCUGGGGAGUACGGUCGCAAGACUGAAACUCAAAGGAAUUGACGGGGGCCCGCACAAGCGGUGGAGCAUGUGGUUUAAU
rnacentral:rRNA from 2 species